rnacentral:tRNA from 1 species
AGCUUUGUAUUCAAUGAUGAUAUUAAAUUGCAAAUUUAAAGGUGGUUGUAAUCCCAAGGCUU